rnacentral:rRNA from 1 species
GUGCCAGCAGCCGCGGUAAUACCGGCAGCUCAAGUGAUGUCCUAUAUUAUUGGGCCUAAAGCGUCCGUAGCUGGCCGCGCAAGUCCGUCGGGAAAUCCACCUGCCCAACAGGUGGGCGUCCGGCGGAAACUGUGUGGCUUGGAACCGGAAGGCUCAGAGAGUACGUCCGGGGUAGGAGUGAAAUCCUGUAAUCCUGGACGGACCGCCGGUGGCGAAAGCGCCUCGGGAAGACGGACCCGACAGUGAGGGACGAAAGCUAAGAUCGCGAACCGGAUUAGAUACCCAGUAGUCC